rnacentral:rRNA from 1 species
UACGAGUGCCCCGAGCGUUAUCCGGAAUCAUUGGGCGUAAAGGGUGCGUAGGCGGGUCUUUUAAGUCAGGGGUGAAAUCCUGGAGCUCAACUCCAGAACUGCCUUUGAUACUGAAGAUCUUGAGUUCGGGAGAGGUGAGUGGAACUGCGAGUGUAGAGGUGAAAUUCGUAGAUAUUCGCAAGAACACCAGUGGCGAAGGCGGCUCACUGGCCCGAUACUGACGCUGAGGCACGAAAGCGUGGGGGAGCAAACAGG